CCCACAUUUUUUGGGGCUUGGGCUAGCCCGACACACCUGAAACGGGAGGGAGACUCCCGAAUAGAGUCUUCCCUCCCCUGUUUCUAUUGCUCCCAUGAAUCCACCGGAAGAGGAAACAAAGAAAAAAAAAAAAGAGAGAGGGAGACGGGAUCAAAUCCUUCCUUAUUUGAAUCAAUUUACAUCUAUAAAAAAAGAAUCUCUUCCCCUCUUCCUUAGGGCAUCAACCGAGAGUCUUUCCACAAAAAAAAAAGGGGAGAAAAGAGGGAUUUGGAGUUCUAGGCGAUCCGUGGGAGAAGCUCGGGUUGCUCGCCGUUGGACCAGCCGGAAAGGCUCGCCGGAGGCAAGGGGAACAAUUUGUUGGACGAAAGGACGCUGAGCAGGGUUCUGCAUAUCCGGAUUUAUAGAUCGCCGUGAGGGUGGGUGAUUAGUCUGUCUGAGUUAACAAAGGAGUUGCAGGAUGCAUAGAUUUGGAUGGGAUGGGCGCAGAG